ensembl:lncRNA
GUGUGUUCCCGAGGCUCACUGGGGUUGGCUUUGGGUUACUCUUCUCUGCCGUCCUGGUACCGGCUGGCCUCUGCUCUGGCUUCACUGGACGGCAGUCACUGCCUGCCCUGCCCCCUGACCGAUCCCUACGAGGAUGCUGCUGAGAGACCGCAUCAGAGGACCCACUCUUUGGUUGUUUCUCCUGUGGCUGUCCACAGUAGUAUUUCUGCCUAGACUUAGGACAUCCUCCCAGCAGUGUUUAUUUUCCUCAGUAUCCUUUAUUCUCAGGAAAUAGAAUUAUGGCCCAGAAAGGAGCUGCUUCCUUGCUAAUGUUGUGUAUAGAGGCACAGCCAGUCCUUCUGCUGUGGUAGGUUAGGGCUGUUUUGGCGAUUGGCUUUGUUGGCAGCCCGAGGAGCUAAUGGACACUUGAGUCACAGGUGGGGCAAGCCCUGUGUCUCAGAUGUUCACUUGUGUUGAGUCCUCGGCGAUCAAAAGGAUCCCACAGGGCUUUGUCACUUCCUAGCUCCUAGACCGGAGGUGUCCUUAUUCUUCAGAAGGAUGCCACUGACUUCAUGAAGAACAACAGUGUCAUUGGGGGUUGCAGAGGAAGGAAAGGCUGUUACUCUUAGGUAACACUGUCAAUGUCUUCAGACACACCAGAAGAAGAGAAGAGGGCAUCGGAUCCCAUCACAGAUGGUUGUGAGCCACCAUGUGGUUGCUGGGAUUUGAACUCAGGACCUCUGGAAGAGCAGUCAGUGCUCCUAACCUCUGAGCCAUCUCUCCAGCCUGAGGAAAACCAAUUUUAAGCAAAAUUUCCAGCGAGAAAAAUGAAUCUGAGAUUGGAUUAGGGCAUGUUUUUUUCAGUGAAUGCCUGUCCCCUAGGUCAUCAAGGAGGCCACACUUGCUCUCUUGUGCCUGUCCUGGGAUUGGAAUUCAGUUCCCUUGGGGACAAGUUAGCUGUGAGUCUUCUCUUCAGAGGAACCACUGGCACACCAGCUCUGGCAUUCAUCUUUGAAAUGUGUCAUUUGGGUGUCUUGUAAAACCUUAGGAUGCUUUCCCUUCAGUGGGGCGAACUAUUAGAGUGGCUGGAACCAGCUGACUGAC